AGUAACACGUGAGUGACCUGCCUUUUAGACUGGAACAACUUACCGAAAGGUGAGCUAAUGCCGGAUGAGUUAUAUAAGUGCAUGUUUAUAUAGGAAAAGUUGGGGAGACCUGACGCUGAAAGAUGGACUCGCGUCCCAUUAGCUAGUUGGUAGGGUAAUGGCCUACCAAGGCGACGAUCAGUAGCCGGCCUGAGAGGGUGGGCGGCCACAUUGGGACUGAGACACGGCCCAGACUCCUACGGGAGGCAGCAG
rnacentral:rRNA from 1 species